rnacentral:rRNA from 1 species
UACGUAGGGGGCAAGCGUUGUCCGGAUUUAUUGGGCGUAAAGCGCGUGUAGUUGGCCAAGGAGGUCCGCUGUGAAAACUUGAGGCUCAACCUCAAGCUGUCGGUGGAAACCCCUUGGCUAGAGUCCGGAAGAGGAGAGUGGAAUUCCUGGUGUAGCGGUGAAAUGCGCAGAUAUCAGGAAGAACACCAAUGGCGAAGGCAGCUCUCUGGGACGGUACUGACACUGAGACGCGAAAGCGUGGGGAGCGAACAGG